UGGGGAGUACGGCCGCAAGGCUAAAACUCAAAGGAAUUGACGGGGGCCCGCACAAGCGGCGGAGCAUGCGGAUUAAUUCGAUGCAACGCGAAGAACCUUACCAAGGCUUGACAUAUACGAGAACGCUGCAGAAAUGUGGAACUCUUUGGACACUCGUAUACAGGUGGUGCAUGGUUGUCGUCAGCUCGUGUCGUGAGAUGUUGGGUUAAGUCCCGCAACGAGCGCAACCCUCGUUCUAUGUUGCCAGCACGUUAUGGUGGGAACUCAUAGGAGACUGCCGGGGUCAACUCGGAGGAAGGUGGGGAUGACGUCAAAUCAUCAUGCCCCUUAUGUCUUGGGCUUCACGCAUGCUACAAUGGCCGGUACAAAGGGCUGCAAUACCGUAAGGUGGAGCGAAUCCCAAAAAGCCGGUCUCAGUUCGGAUUGAGGUCUGCAACUCGACCUCAUGAAGUCGGAGUCGCUAGUAAUCGUGGAUCAGCAACGCCACGGUGAAUACGUUCCCGGGCCUUGUACACACCGCCCGUCAAGUCAUGAAAGUCGGUAACACCCGAAGCCGGUGGCCCAACCUUUUGGAGGGAGCCGUCGAAGGUGGGAUCGGUGAUUA
rnacentral:rRNA from 2 species